rnacentral:rRNA from 1 species
UACGGAGGGUGCGAACGUUAAUCGGAAUUACUGGGCGUAAAGCGCACGUAGGCGGUUCGCUAAGUGGGAUGUGAAAGCCCUGGGCUCAACCCGGGAACUGCAUUUCAGACUGGCGGACUAGAGUACGGUAGAGGGGGUGGAAUUCCACGUGUAGGCAGUGAAAUGCGUAGAGAUGUGGAGGAACACCGAUGGCGAAGGCAGCCCCCUGGGCUAACACUGACGCUCAUGCACGAAAGCGUGGGGAGCAAACAGG